rnacentral:rRNA from 1 species
AACGAACGCUGGCGGCGUGCUUAACACAUGCAAGUUGAACGGUGCUACGUUGGGUAACUGAUGUAGUGAUCGUAGCGAACGGGUGAGUAACACGUGAGUAACCUGCCUUACAGUGGGGAACAAUCUCCGAAAGAGGUAAAUGCCCCAUGACAUGGCGUCUUCGCAUGAGGAUGCCAUCAAAGAAUUUCGCUGUAAGAUGGACUCGCGUCUGAUUAGGCAGUUGGCGGGGUAACGGCCCACCAAACCAACGAUCAGUAGCCGGCCUUAGAGGGUGAUCGGCCACACUGGGACUGAGAUACGGCCCAGACUCCUUCGGGAGGCAGCAGUGGGGAAUAUCGGGCAAUGGGCGAAAGCCUGACCCAGCAACGCCGCGUGGAGGAUGAAGUCCUUCGGGAUGUAAACUCCUUUUGGAAGGGACGAAAACAAUGACGGUACCUUCUGAAUAAGCCUCGGCCAACUCCGUGCCAGCAGCCGCGGUAAUACGGGGGAGGCUAGCGUUGUUCGGAAUUACUGGGUGUAAAGGGCAUGUAGGCGGGACUCUAAGUCAUUCGUGUAAUCUCUGGGCUUAACCCAGAGGCUGCGAUUGAUACUGGAGUUCUUGAGUAGGGGAGAGGAAAUCGGAAUACCCGGUGUAGCGGUGAAAUGCGUAGAUAUCGGGUAGAACACCAGUAGCGAAGGCGGAUUUCUGGACCCUAACUGACGCUGAGGUGCGAAAGCGUGGGGAGCAAACAGGAUUAGAUACCCUGGUAGUCCACGCCCUAAACGAUGGGUACUAGGUGUUGGGGGUAUCCACCCCCCCAGUGCCGCAGCUAACGCAUUAAGUACCCCACCUGGGGAGUACGGCCGCAA